rnacentral:rRNA from 4 species
GGGUUGUGAGGUUAAGCGACCAAGCGUACACGGUGGAUGCCCUGGCAGUCAGAGGCGAUGAAGGACGUGCUAAUCUGCGAAAAGCGCCGGUAAGGUGAUAUGAACCGUUAUAACCGGCGAUGUCCGAAUGGGGAAACCCAGUGUGACUCGUCACACUAUCAUUAACUGAAUCCAUAGGUUAAUGAGGCGAACCGGGGGAACUGAAACAUCUAAGUACCCCGAGGAAAAGAAAUCAACCGAGAUUCCCCCAGUAGCGGCGAGCGAACGGGGAGGA